UGUUAGGGAUUACUCAACCCUUUUGAAGCUAUAAUCUGAAGGUAGCGGCUCCGGCCAUGGAUGAAUUCGAGUUCCACCGCCUUCUCGAGCACUUCGCGGUCGUUCGUACUCGCGAUUACGACCUUGAAACUGAGAUGAAGUUAUCAGCGUCGUUGUCAUCGCGAAACUUGGAGGCGUCUAAAUCAGGGAAGAAUUUGACGUCGUCCAAGUCAUCGCGAAAUAUUGAGGCAUCAAAGUCAUCGCGAAAUUUGGACUCGUCAAAAUCGUCGAAGAAACUGAAUCCAUCAAAAUCAUCAAGAAAUUUUACGCCAUCAAGAUCAUCCAGAAAUUUGACUCCAUCAAGAUCAUCCAGAAAGUUGACAUCAAAAUCAUUGCGAGAGCUUGUGGAAAAAAUGAAUAAAGCGGAAAUCGACAGCAAUGGAGAUUCAUUUUGGGACAAACUGAAGCAAGCUGCUGAGAAACAGGAUGCAACAUUGAGUCUUUUAUUUGUAAUGAAUGUUGGAAAGCGAAGAUGCACGGUGGCAAUUCUUGUGUCAUGUGGUUCAUUAAAGUUGAAGGAGGAUGAAGUUGCCUAGAUGAUGAAAUGAUUUGUUUGAGCACUUUCAAGGAAAAAGAGAAGUGGAUGAAGAAUUAAUUGUAGGAUCUCUGAAGACUUUUCAGAGAAAACCUCUGAUGGUAGGUUAUAUGUCUUAUGAAACAUAUGGAAACCUUAAUAUCACAAUACAUGCACCGGAAGAAGAUUCUUCUUAAGUUCCCAUGCUUAAGUGACUAUUAGCUUUAUGAAAGGAGUUUCUUAUUGAAAUACAUAAUUUACCCAGGAAAAAAAUGUUGACGUGAAACAAACAUAGUCCAUUUGAGAUCCCAUCUACUUUCUUCAUCAAGAUGGAUCGGUAUCAGUCUUUUGGGUAGGUGUACUUUUUAUUGAUGGUCGGGUUUUUGUUUCUUCUACAUAGUGAAAAGGGUGAAUACUUAUUUAUAUGCAAACUCUGCUGCUUAUACCUAAUAAUUUUGAUAGCUAAAUUAUAUACUGUAAUAAAUAAUAUACAUAUCAAGUAUUAUUUGUGUGGGAGUCUUGCACAUAUAUCACUUGUGUAAUCUUUUGUGUGUUAGAGGCUUAGAGCAUCCCUUGCUCUCAUUCUCAUAACUCCAGUUAGUCGAGAAAUUUUACAGGUUGGUGAAGAAGAAGCAGAAAAGUUUUGCAAGGCAUUUCAAGAAGUUUAUAAGAAACUUGUGUAUGAAGAACUGAGUUUGGAUGCUGCUCGGAAGUUUUUACGCUCAUCACCA